GUUCCAUCUCGGCCUUAUGGCUAAGAUCAAAGUGUAAUAUCUGUUCUUAUCAAUUUUAAUACAUAUGUAUGUAUGUAUCUCAAUUUCUAACAACCCGUU